UAGAAGCCAGCUGCUGGGAGACUGAAAAGUGAAAGUAAAUUUAGGUCCUUCACCUGAACCUGGUGGUGGGUCAAACGCUUCCACAUGGACACCUGUCAGUCCCACUGGAGUGUAGGUCUGGCCAGAGACCUUUAGUUGUCUCUGUGCUCAGAUGUUGGCCACCAAGGAUCACAAGUUGGGAAAGAGAAUGGAGAGGAUUCCCUGUAAGGAGAGAGAGUCCUUAUAUGGGCCACCAAAAUGUCAUGGACUUUCUUGCAAAAAUGCCUGUUUGGGAUUCCUCAGAGUACAGACAAAAAGGAAGGCUUGAUCAGCAUGUGGUGGAUCUGAAGAUUCAAAGAGGUGCCACAGCUCAAAAGUAGACAUUUUGGCAAAUGUGAAGAAGUGAGAUUCAAUGAAGAUGAUAAGAAAUGAAAGGUGUUACCAAAAUUACACAAGUAUUUCUGUCAUUUUCCUACUAAAUUACAUGAAGGGGGUUGUCUGCUUAUGAGCUGCACCACCGAGCAGCAUGCCUAUCAGCGAGAAGGUGCCUGACAAUUCUCAGUUGAAAUGUCCUGACCAAGUUCCCCCAGAAAUUUAUGACUAAUAACAAAAGGGAAAAGCUACCCUCACAAGGAGAUGUCCAGUUGACACUAUCUCAACCAAAAUUAUUAAACAUAGCAUCAGCAAUCGUGGGACAAACAGACGCAAACAUCUCCUGGUGUGAGGCGCAUCAAGGAAAACAAUCUACAAGAAACAAAAUGGUGAGAAAAAGCAGCACACUCACGUCUCUGAAGAGCACAGCAUAAGGCUACAAAAAGGACCAAGCACCUUCUCAACCUGCAAUGUGCUCAGUGUCUGUAAAUCACAAGUUAGGUGAUGAAGGGCUGGUAGUUUCCCAUGAAUUAAUAACUUUCCUUCUUGCCCCCGUGUUAUCUCCCUCACCUGACCCCCGCCAAUAAAACAUCCUUAAAAGGCUCCUCUCAAAUUCCUUGCAAAUAUUAGGCUCCUCUCAAAUUGCUUGCACAUGCU
rnacentral:lncRNA from 1 species